UACGUAGGGUGCAAGCGUUGUCCGGAAUUAUUGGGCGUAAAGAGCUCGUAGGCGGUCUGUCGCGUCUGGUGUGAAAAUCCAGGGCUUAACCCUGGACCUGCAUCGGGUACGGGCAGACUAGAGUGCGGUAGGGGAGAUCGGAAUUCCUGGUGUAGCGGUGAAAUGCGCAGAUAUCAGGAGGAACACCGGUGGCGAAGGCGGAUCUCUGGGCCGUAACUGACGCUGAGGCGCGAAAGCUAGGGGAGCAAACGGG
rnacentral:rRNA from 1 species